AAGUCGUAACAAGGUUUCCGUAGGUGAACCUGCGGAAGGAUCAUUACCAAUAAUUUAUAAUUUAACCCAUGUGCACUGUGAAUGUAUUGUCUUGGUUUUUGGGGUGGGCUUUAGGUUCACCCCAACCAUUUUGUUAAACUACUGUUUAUAAUUGUCAUGGCAUCGUAACUUGUUUUAAUAAAUAUUAUGACAACUUUUAACGGUGGAUCUCUUGGCUCGUG
rnacentral:misc_RNA from 1 species